rnacentral:tRNA from 3 species
AGGGGCGUAGUACAACGGUUAGUAUAGCGGUCUCCAAAACCGUAGAUCAUGGUUCGAUUCCGUGCGCCCCUGCCA